GACGAACGCUGGCGGCGUGCUUAACACAUGCAAGUCGAACGGAAAGGCCCUGCUUUUGUGGGGUGCUCGAGUGGCGAACGGGGGAGUAACACGUGAGUAACCUGCCCCUAACUUUCGGAUAUCUUCUGGAAACUGGGGCUCAUACCGGAUAGGAUCUCCUGCUCCAUGGGGGGGGUUGGAAAGUUUCGGCGGUGGGGGAUGGACUCGCGGCUUAUCCGCUAGUUGGUCUGGUAGUGGCUGACGAAGGCUUUGACGGGUAGCCGGCCUGAGAGGGUAGACGGCGACAUGGGGACUACGAUACGGACCAGACUCCUACGGGAGGCAGCAGUGGGGAGUAUGGCAGAAUGGGCGGAAGCCAGAUGCAGCAACGUCGCGUGCGGGAUGACGGCCUUCGGGGGGUAAACCGCUUUCGCAUGUGACGAAGCGUGAGUGACGGUAAUGGGUAAAGAAGCACCGGCUAACUACGUG
rnacentral:rRNA from 1 species